rnacentral:rRNA from 1 species
UUCUGCCUAUCACUUUCGAUGGUAGGAUAGUGGCCUACCAUGGUGGCAACGGGUAACGGGGAAUUAGGGUUCGAUUCCGGAGAGGGAGCCUGAGAAACGGCUACCACAUCCAAGGAAGGCAGCAGGCGCGCAAAUUACCCAAUCCCGAUACGGGGAGGUAGUGACAAUAAAUACUGAUACGGGGCUCUUUUGGGUCUCGUAAUUGGAAUGAGAACAAUUUAAAUCCCUUAACGAGGAACAAUUGGAGGGCAAGUCUGGUGCCAGCAGCCGCGGUAAUUCCAGCUCCAAUAGCGUAUAUUAAAGUUGUUGCAGUUAAAAAGCUCGUAGUUGAACCUUGGGUCUGGCUGGUCGGUCCGCCUCACCGCGAGUACUGAUCCGGCUGGACCUUUCCUUCUGGGGAACCUCAUGGCCUUCACUGGCUGUGGGGGGAACCAGGACUUUUACUGUGAAAAAAUUAGAGUGUUCAAAGCAGGCCUUUGCUCGAAUACAUUAGCAUGGAAUAAUAGAAUAGGACGUGUGGUCUAUUUUGUUGGUUCUAGACCGCCGUAAUGAUUAAUAGGAUAAGUCGGGGGCGUCAAGUAUUCACUGUCAGAGGUGAAAUUCUUGGAUUUGCUGAAGACUAACUACUUGCGAAAGCAUUCCCAAGGAUGUUUUCCUUAAUCAGGGAACCAAAGUUAAGGGGACCCAGAACGACCAAAUCCGGCGUAUUCUUAACCAUAAACUUUGCCGAUAAGGAUCGGCAGGGUUCUUUAAUGCCCGGUCGGGACCUUACAAAAAACCAAAGUUUUUGGGUCCUGGGGGGG